GAUGAACGCUGGCGGCGUGCCUAAUACAUGCAAGUCGAGCGAACAGACGAGGAGCUUGCUCCUCUGACGUUAGCGGCGGACGGGUGAGUAACACGUGGAUAACCCACCUAUAAGACUGGGAUAACUUCGGGAAACCGGAGCUAAUACCGGAUAAUAUAUUGAACCGCAUGGUUCAAUAGUGAAAGACGGUUUUGCUGUCACUUAUAGAUGGAUCCGCGCCGCAUUAGCUAGUUGGUAAGGUAACGGCUUUCCAAGGCAACGAUGCGUAGCCGACCUGAGAGGGUGAUCGGCCACACUGGAACUGAGACACGGUCCAGACUCCUACGGGAGGCAGCAGUAGGGAAUCUUCCGCAAUGGGCGAAAGCCUGACGGAGCAACGCCGCGUGAGUGAUGAAGGUCUUCGGAUCGUAAAACUCUGUUAUUAGGGAAGAACAAAUGUGUAAGUACCUAUGCACGUCUUGACGGUACCUAAUCAGAAAGCCACGGCUAACUACGUG
rnacentral:rRNA from 1 species